rnacentral:rRNA from 1 species
AUUGAACGCUGGCGGCAUGCUUUACACAUGCAAGUCGAACGGCAGCACGGACUUCGGUCUGGUGGCGAGUGGCGAACGGGUGAGUAAUACAUCGGAACGUGCCCAGUUGUGGGGGAUAACUACUCGAAAGAGUAGCUAAUACCGCAUGAGAACUGAGGUUGAAAGCAGGGGAUCGUCAGACCUUGCGCAACUGGAGCGGCCGCUGGCAGAUUAGGUAGUUGGUGGGAUAAAAGCUUACCAAGCCGACGAUCUGUAGCUGGUCUGAGAGGACGACCAGCCACACUGGGACUGGGACACGGCCCAGAUUCCUCCGGGAGGCAGCAGUGGGGAAUGUUGGACAAUGGGCGAAAGCCUGAUCCAGCAAUGCCGCGUGCAGGAUGAAGGCCUUCGGGUUGUAAACUGCUUUUGUACAGAACGAAAAGCUUCGGGCUAAUACCCUGGAGUCAUGACGGUACCGGAAGAAUAAGCACCGGCUAACUACGUGCCAGCCGCCGCAGUAAUAC